GCCUCGGUGGCAGAUGGUACGCGCCUGUAUUGAAUUAUAAAAUUCCCAUGCGAUUAUCGUGCAGGAAACUGCUCGUUCGAUUCGAGCUCGGGGCC